CAUUAUACACACACACACAUUAUAUACACACACACAGACACACAUUAUAUACACACACACAUUAUAUACACACACACAGACACACAUUAUAUACACACACACAUUAUAUACACACACACACACAUUAUAUACACACACACAUUAUAUACACACACACAGACACACAUUAUAUACACACACACAGACACACAUUAUAUACACACACACAGACACAUUAUAUACACACACACACACAUUAUAUACACACACACACACACACAUUAUAUACACACACACACACACACACAUUAUAUAUACACACACACACACAUUAUAUACACACACACAUAAUAUACACACACAUUAUAUAGGUAUUAUAUAGAGCCCCCUGUGUUUGUAGAUUAUAGAACCACUAGAAGGGAGGGUUUCCCUUCUGAACAGCGGUCCAUGGUGGAUGGACCAGACCGGCUGCCAUUUUGGGCUUCUAUGGACCCUUGAUGGGCUGGAUGUUAGAGUCACCUGCUCCGGAAGUUCUGCAGUUGUUUCAUGACGUCGGCCAUUUUACAUCAACUAGAUGAAAUUUGCCGCCAUUUUGACAGUUCGUGUGGAUUUUUAGAACUAUAUCUGUUCUAGAAUUGAUCUGUUCUAGAAUUGAUCUGUUCUAGAAUGUAUAUUUCUAUGACCUGAGUAACCACUGCACUGAGAAGCAGACAGACAGUCCUCCUGAACUCUGGACUCUGACCUGUGGAAUAGUCAAUAGGUCAAUACAGGGUCAUUAUCUGUGGAACCCUGAGAGGUGAAAGGUCAAAGAGGCCUGACCUGUGACCCUGGGGAUCGUAGUGGAUUAUGGGAACUGCAGUCUCAGGACGAGGAAGACUCUUAAUGACAUCACUGAUAUGAUGACAUUGCGGAUGACAUUAUCACAGCAGGAGACCAAUCAUAGGACUGAGAACUCACAUCCUGCUUGUCUCCAACUUCUUCUUCUUCAGCCGUUCCUUCUGAUUCUGUUACAUCAGAGAUAGACAGAGACACUAAAUAGAGGAGGAAGAGUUGACAGAGACAGAGACACUAAAUAGAGGAGGAAGAGUUGGUAGAGACAGAGACACUAAAUAGAGGAGGAAGAGUUGGUAGAGAGACAGAGACAGAGACACUAAAUAGAGGAGGAAGAGUUGGUAGAAAGACAGAGACAGAGACACUAAAUAGAGGAGGAAGAGUUGACAGAGACAGAGACACUAAAUAGAGGAGGAAGAGUUGGUAGAAAGACAGAGACAGAGACACUAAAUAGAGGAGGAAGAGUUGGUAGAGAGACAGAGACACUAAAUAGAGGAGGAAGAGUUGGUACAGAGACAGAGACACUAAAUAGAGGAGGAAGAGUUGGUAGAGAGACAGAGACAGAGACACUAAAUAGAGGAGGAAGAGUUGGUAAAGACAGAGACA